rnacentral:lncRNA from 1 species
CUAACGACACGGCGCCCACCGAGAGCUGGGGGAGCCCAGGGUGGGGAGGGCGCGGCCGGAGCGAGCGCCGCCCGGGAAACCCGAGCCCUGCCAGAACCCCCGGCAGCCACAGAGCUCAGGCUUCAACGCUGGCCUGACACCAGGGCCAGGCCAGAAAUCAGCCUGGGAGAAGCUGGGUCCGGCUCCGAGGCUGGUGGGCGCGGCCCCACACGGCUUUGUUCUUCGAGGUGCUGAGGUGGUUAGUUUAGCCUCCGACCCACUGGACAAAGGUGCGGGAAAUGGGACCAGCUUGACUUGCUCAGGCACAUGGUCACCCUGCACGCCAGGGGCCCGGCUCACCCCUGAUAUUAGCCACCCCAAGUGUUUUGGCUCAGGGAGGGCCCCCUGUCAGCCAGGUCCCCACGCAGCUCCAGGCAGCGCCGGCGUCCACCAGGGAGCAGGGGCAGCAGAGUCGUUCUCGCCAGACACCCCCGUGUCUUCGGAAAAUGCCAGGCCCCCCCCCCAGCUGCUGUUCUCAUCUUUGGAGGACCCGGCUUUACCAGUGCCACACGCCUGCUGCGGGCUGUGCCAUGGAGGGUGGCACCCGCCUCUUCUCACGUGGCAGCUCUGGCACCGGAAACUUCAGAGACCCCAGCUGGGCUGAGCCACCCCGGGCUGUGGCCUUGUGGGUCGUCUCAGAUUCCAGCCUCAUGGGCCCAGCCUCCCGCCCUAACGGCUGCUGAAGUGUCCUGCUCUCACACGAACUUGUGUCUAAAACUGUGGCCUUUGCUUUUCUCCCAAACCUGCCUCCCUACGCUGCCUACCUCAGGCCUGGGGACUCCCCUGACUCACUAGCCCCCCAGCCCCGCACUGCCUGGGGGCUCCCCCGACUCACUCUCUAGCCCCCCAGCCCCGCACUGCAUCUCAGGAGCAGUUCCAGGCCGACCUCUGCUCUCCACAGCUGGGAGGUGGCCAGGUGUGGACAGAGCCCCAGCUCUCCAUCAGGGCACCCGGCUGCCCCACGCUCAGCCCAGCGUGGCUUCUCCCGUCCUUCCUGGGCAUCCCCUGAGGGUGUGGCCCUGUUGCUGGGCCCCCUCCUGCCCCCUUGCCCUGCCAGGUCCUGGAGCCUAGACUGAAGGCAGGGCCAUUGCUGUGAACCAACUGGACAGGCUCCGAGGGAGCUCAGAGCUGCCCCGUGUCUGAGGGCGCAGCUGUGUGAAGAGUGGGGUCCCCUCGGCUGGGCGGGAAAGGCCCCGGAUCACGUGUGUUGUGUGACCCUAGUACUGGGCAACCCCUAGGACAGGCAAGUCCAUGGAGACAGAACGGGGCGGUGGCUGCAGCCUGGGAGCUCGGCCUGCCUCGGGGCGACAGAAUGUUCUGGACCUCGAUAUAGGUGGUGGAUACUCAGCCCCGUGAGUGCAAUAAUGCCACCAAAUUCUCACUUCAAAAUUAUUUUAUGCUAUGUGAAUUCUGCCCCAAUUAAAACACAAACUCCCUUGCAAAA